rnacentral:rRNA from 1 species
UUUUAUUUGAGAGUUUGAUCCUGGCUCAGGAUGAACGCUGGCGGCGUGCCUAACACAUGCAAGUUGAGCGAUUUACUUCGGUAAAGAGCGGCGGACGGGUGAGUAACGCGUGGGUAACCUACCCUGUACACACGGAUAACAUACCGAAAGGUAUGCUAAUACGGGAUAAUAUAUUUGAGAGGCAUCUCUUGAAUAUCAAAGGUGAGCCAGUACAGGAUGGACCCGCGUCUGAUUAGCUAGUUGGUAAGGUAACGGCUUACCAAGGCGACGAUCAGUAGCCGACCUGAGAGGGUGAUCGGCCACAUUGGAACUGAGACACGGUCCAAACUCCUACGGGAGGCAGCAGUGGGGAAUAUUGCACAAUGGG